rnacentral:rRNA from 1 species
GAUUAAGUUAUUAAGGGCGCACGGUGGAUGCCUUGGCACUAGAAGCCGAUGAAGGACGUUACUAACGACGAUAUGCUUUGGGGAGCUGUAAGUAAGCUUUGAUCCAGAGAUUUCCGAAUGGGGAAACCCAGCAUGAGUUAUGUCAUGUUAUCGAUAUGUGAAUACAUAGCAUAUCAGAAGGCACACCCGGAGAACUGAAACAUCUUAGUACCCGGAGGAAGAGAAAGAAAAUUCGAUUCCCUUAGUAGCGGCGAGCGAAACGGGAAGAGCCCAAACCAACAAGCUUGCUUGUUGGGGUUGUAGGACACUCUAUACGGAGUUACAAAGGACGACAUUAGACGAAUCAUCUGGAAAGAUGAAUCAAAGAAGGUAAUAAUCCUGUAGUCGAAAAUGUUGUCUCUCUUGAGUGGAUCCUGAGUACGACGGAGCACGUGAAAUUCCGUCGGAAUCUGGGAGGACCAUCUCCUAAGGCUAAAUACUCUCUAGUGACCGAUAGUGAACCAGUACCGUGAGGGAAAGGUGAAAAGCACCCCGGAAGGGGAGUGAAAUAGAACCUGAAACCGUGUGCUUACAAGUAGUCAGAGCCCGUUAAUGGGUGAUGGCGUGCCUUUUGUAGAAUGAACCGGCGAGUUACGAUUUGAUGCAAGGUUAAGCAGUAAAUGUGGAGCCGUAGCGAAAGCGAGUCUGAAUAGGGCGUUUAGUAUUUGGUCGUAGACCCGAAACCAGGUGAUCUACCCUUGGUCAGGUUGAAGUUCAGGUAACACUGAAUGGAGGACCGAACCGACUUACGUUGAAAAGUGAGCGGAUGAACUGAGGGUAGCGGAGAAAUUCCAAUCGAACCUGGAGAUAGCUGGUUCUCUCCGAAAUAGCUUUAGGGCUAGCCUCAAGUGAUGAUUAUUGGAGGUAGAGCACUGUUUGGACGAGGGGCCCCUCUCGGGUUACCGAAUUCAGACAAACUCCGAAUGCCAAUUAAUUUAACUUGGGAGUCAGAACAUGGGUGAUAAGGUCCGUGUUCGAAAGGGAAACAGCGCAGACCACCAGCUAAGGUCCCAAAAUAUAUGUUAAGUGGAAAAGGAUGUGGCGUUGCCCAGACAACUAGGAUGUUGGCUUAGAAGCAGCCAUCAUUUAAAGAGUGCGUAAUAGCUCACUAGUCGAGUGACACUGCGCCGAAAAUGUACCGGGGCUAAACAUAUUACCGAAGCUGUGGAUUGUCCUUUGGACAAUGGUAGGAGAGCGUUCUAAGGGCGUUGAAGCAUGAUCGUAAGGACAUGUGGAGCGCUUAGAAGUGAGAAUGCCGGUGUGAGUAGCGAAAGACGGGUGAGAAUCCCGUCCACCGAUUGACUAAGGUUUCCAGAGGAAGGCUCGUCCGCUCUGGGUUAGUCGGGUCCUAAGCUGAGGCCGACAGGCGUAGGCGAUGGAUAACAGGUUGAUAUUCCUGUACCACCUAUAAUCGUUUUAAUCGAUGGGGGGACGCAGUAGGAUAGGCGAAGCGUGCGAUUGGAUUGCACGUCUAAGCAGUAAGGCUGAGUAUUAGGCAAAUCCGGUACUCGUUAAGGCUGAGCUGUGAUGGGGAGAAGACAUUGUGUCUUCGAGUCGUUGAUUUCACACUGCCGAGAAAAGCCUCUAGAUAGAAAAUAGGUGCCCGUACCGCAAACCGACACAGGUAGUCAAGAUGAGAAUUCUAAGGUGAGCGAGCGAACUCUCGUUAAGGAACUCGGCAAAAUGACCCCGUAACUUCGGGAGAAGGGGUGCUCUUUAGGGUUAACGCCCAGAAGAGCCGCAGUGAAUAGGCCCAAGCGACUGUUUAUCAAAAACACAGGUCUCUGCUAAACCGUAAGGUGAUGUAUAGGGGCUGACGCCUGCCCGGUGCUGGAAGGUUAAGAGGAGUGGUUAGCUUCUGCGAAGCUACGAAUCGAAGCCCCAGUAAACGGCGGCCGUAACUAUAACGGUCCUAAGGUAGCGAAAUUCCUUGUCGGGUAAGUUCCGACCCGCACGAAAGGCGUAACGAUUUGGGCACUGUCUCAACGAGAGACUCGGUGAAAUCAUAGUACCUGUGAAGAUGCAGGUUACCCGCGACAGGACGGAAAGACCCCGUGGAGCUUUACUGUAGCCUGAUAUUGAAAUUCGGCACAGCUUGUACAGGAUAGGUAGGAGCCUUUGAAACGUGAGCGCUAGCUUACGUGGAGGCGCUGGUGGGAUACUACCCUAGCUGUGUUGGCUUUCUAACCCGCACCACUUAUCGUGGUGGGAGACAGUGUCAGGCGGGCAGUUUGACUGGGGCGGUCGCCUCCUAAAAGGUAACGGAGGCGCUCAAAGGUUCCCUCAGAAUGGUUGGAAAUCAUUCAUAGAGUGUAAAGGCAUAAGGGAGCUUGACUGCGAGACCUACAAGUCGAGCAGGGUCGAAAGACGGACUUAGUGAUCCGGUGGUUCCGCAUGGAAGGGCCAUCGCUCAACGGAUAAAAGCUACCCCGGGGAUAACAGGCUUAUCUCCCCCAAGAGUUCACAUCGACGGGGAGGUUUGGCACCUCGAUGUCGGCUCAUCGCAUCCUGGGGCUGUAGUCGGUCCCAAGGGUUGGGCUGUUCGCCCAUUAAAGCGGUACGCGAGCUGGGUUCAGAACGUCGUGAGACAGUUCGGUCCCUAUCCGUCGUGGGCGUAGGAAAUUUGAGAGGAGCUGUCCUUAGUACGAGAGGACCGGGAUGGACAUACCUCUGGUGUACCAGUUGUCGUGCCAACGGCAUAGCUGGGUAGCUAUGUGUGGACGGGAUAAGUGCUGAAAGCAUCUAAGCAUGAAGCCCCCUCAAGAUGAGAUUUCCCAACUUCGGUUAUAAGAUCCCUCAAAGAUGAUGAGGUUAAUAGGUUCGAGGUGGAAGCAUGGUGACAUGUGGAGCUGACGAAUACUAAUCGAUCGAAGACUUAAUCAA